AACGCACAUUGCGCCCCCUGGCACUCCGGGGGGCAUGCCUGUCCGAGCGUCAUUUCAACCCUCCAGCCCGGCUGGUGUUUGGGCCUUCGUCCUCCGGGGCGGGCCUCAAAGACAGGGACGACGCCGCGUCGAAACCCCCGAGCGUAUGAGACUCUGUCGCUGCUCGAUCGGGACGACCGGUUCGGUCCAACCAACCCAUCUUUUUUCAGGUGGACCUCGGAUCAGGUAGGGAUACCCGCUGAACUUAA
rnacentral:misc_RNA from 1 species